ACGUAGGGUGCGAGCGUUAAUCGGAAUUACUGGGCGUAAAGCGUGCGCAGGCGGUUGUGUAAGACAGAUGUGAAAUCCCCGGGCUCAACCUGGGAACUGCGUUUGUGACUGCACAACUAGAGUACGGCAGAGGGAGGUGGAAUUCCGCGUGUAGCAGUGAAAUGCGUAGAGACGCGGAGGAACACCGAUGGCGAAGGCAGCCUACUGGGACAGUACUGACGCUCAGGCACGAAAGCGAGGGGAGCGAACAG
rnacentral:rRNA from 1 species